UACAGAGGGUGCGAGCGUUAAUCGGAAUUACUGGGCGUAAAGCGUGCGUAGACGGUUAUUUAAGUCGGGUGUGAAAGCCCCGGGCUCAACCUGGGAAUUGCAUUCGAGACUGAAUAGCUAGGGUACGGUAGAGGGAAGUGGAAUUUCCGGUGUAGCGGUGAAAUGCGUAGAUAUUCGCAAGAACACCAGUGGCGAAGGCGGCUGUCUGGUCCGGUUCUGACGCUGAGGCGCGAAAGCGUGGGGAGCAAACAGG
rnacentral:rRNA from 1 species